rnacentral:lncRNA from 1 species
CUGUGGUUGUGACCAGUUGGAGAGACAUUAGGAGAUGAGAUACUAUGUUCACUCCUCACAGCUGUACCAGGGACCUGAGAUAUUCCAUCACUAUUCUGUGAGAUUUUGGAGAUCCCACCAGUGGUUUUCCGGUGCCAGGGUAUGAGAAGAUAGUCUCCAUGUCCAAACUCACAAUUUAAGAACAAAUUUCAUCAAGAUAAAGGCCUGGGCUGGUGAAUGGUUCCUGCUUUCACUAUUCCAGAUGUCCAGCUCUGUACCUUGCUGCUCUCCUUAAAGCCUGCCUCCAUCUAGAUGGUCUGGCUUGAUGAUAUCCAACCUGACUUGGCCUGAAGAGACAGACAAUGGCUCUUGCUAGCUAAUUAUUGUCAGAUGGAUCAGCAGCCGACCAACGCUUCUGAAACUAUUGUUUUUGGCAAAUGUUCCUCAACAUUUUCCUGGUAUAUAAAUAAUGAUCCCCUGCAGAAA